rnacentral:rRNA from 1 species
CGUUAGCGGCGGACGGGUGAGUAACGCGUGGACAACCUGCCCUAUGCAGGGGGAGUAACAUCCGGAAACGGGUGCUAAUACCGCAUAAGCGCACAGUACCGCAUGGUACAGUGUGAAAAGCUGAGGCGGCAUAGGAUGGGUCCGCGUUGGAUUAGGCAGUUGGCGGGGUAACGGCCCACCAAACCGACGAUCCAUAGCCGGCCUGAGAGGGUGGACGGCCACAUUGGGACUGAGACACGGCCCAGACUCCUACGGAAGGCAGCAG